UCCUUGAUGAUCCAGUGGUUAGGACUCUGCUCUCUCGCUGCCAAAGGCCUGGGUUCAAUCCCUGGUCAGGGAA
rnacentral:tRNA from 1 species